GACGAACGCUGGCGGCGGGUUUAAUACAUGCAAGUCGAGGGACGAAACCAUCUUCGGAUGGCUGAAACCGGCGAACGGGUGAGUAACACGUGAGAAACCUACCCCUUUCUUUGGGAUAACGUCGUGAAAACGGCGCUAAUACCGAAUAUUCCACAUCUUCCGCAUGGUUGAUUUGGGAAAGCUCAGGCGGUAAGGGAGGGUCUCGCGGCCUAUCAGCUAGUUGGUGAGGUAAUGGCUCACCAAGGCUACGACGGGUAGCUGGAGUGAGAGCUCGAGCAGCCACACUGGAACUGAGACACGGUCCAGACUCCUACGGGAGGCAGCAGUAGAGAAUCUUGCACAAUGGGCGCAAGCCUGAUGCAGCCACGCCGCGUGAGGGAAGAAGGCUUUCGAGUUGUAAACCUCUUUCAGUAGUGAAGAAGCGCAAGUGACGGUAACUACAGAAGAAGCCCCGGCUAACUACGUGCCAGCAGCCGCCGUAACAC
rnacentral:rRNA from 1 species